rnacentral:misc_RNA from 1 species
CAACCUUCAAGCUCUGCUUGGUAUUGGGCGUCACAUGGGGAGUGCGCUUUAAAAUUAGUGGCGGUGCCAUUUAGGUUCCAGUGUAGUAAUUUUCUCGCUGUGGAUAUCUAGGUGUGCUCUUCCAAUAAGUAUUCUUCAAA